UCGGUCCCUAUCUGUGGUGGGCGUUAGUAAAUUGAGUGGACAUGACCUUAGUACGAGAGGACCGGGUCGUACGUGCCGCUGGUGUAUCUGUUGUGCCGCCAGGUGCAAUGCAGAGUAGCUACGCACGGACAGGAUAAACGCUGAAAGCAUCUAAGCGUGAAACCUUCCACAAGAUGAGUUUACUUUUAAGGGUCGUUGUAGACUACAACGUUGAUAGGCUAUAGGUAUAAAGGUGGUAACAUCAAAGCCAAGUAGUACUAAUUGCCCGUACGCUUUAAUUUU
rnacentral:ncRNA from 1 species